CCUCUUGAUGCUCGUCUCGGUAGAGCGGUGGAACGUUGAUCCACAGUCCCGGGUUCAAGUCCCGGCGGUAGCU